rnacentral:rRNA from 1 species
GGAAUAUUGCACAAUGGGGGAAACCCUGAUGCAGCGACGCCGCGUGAGUGAAGAAGUAAUUCGUUAUGUAUAGCUCUAUCAGCAGGGAAGAAAAUGACGGUACCUGAGUAAGAAGCCCCGGCUAACCACGUGCCAGCAGCCGCGGUAAUACGUAGGGGGCAAGCGUUAUCCGGAUUUACUGGGUGAAAAGGGAGCGUAGACGGCAGUGCAAGUCUGGAGUGAAAGGCGGGGGCUCAACCCCCGGACUGCUCUGGAAACUGUACGGCUGGAGUGCAAGAGAGGUAAGUGGAAUUCCUAGUGUAGCGGUGAAAUGCGUAGAUAUUAGGAGGAACACCAGUGGCGAAGGCGGCUUACUGGACUGUAACUGACGUUGAGGCUCGAAAGCGUGGGGAGCAAACA